rnacentral:hammerhead_ribozyme from 1 species
GUACCGCUGAAGAGUCCCAAACUAGGACGAAACUGUCCAGUAC